GGUCAUCUCAGUGAUCUUCAAUCAUUUCCUCUUUAUGCAAAUUCUAAAUCCAUUAUGAUACAAGUAUUUAUAUGCUGCUGACUGAGUUGAGUAAUGCUGUGUCUCAUCAAAUAGAGAUGAAGAUGAAGAAUAUACUCCUAAUUCUAAUUUUGUUCAACCUAAACUGCGUGCAAUGUCAAAAAAUGGAGUCCAUUGAAAGCACGGUUCAGAAAAAGCCUGGAGAAACUCUGACUCUGUCCUGUAGAGGAUCUGGGUUCAGCUUUGACUGCUGUGCCAUGCACUGGAUCAGACAACAAGCUGGAAAACCUCUUGUGUGGAUGGGCCUGGGCUACAGUUCGGGAAGUGGAUACAAGGCGGAAUCCUUUAAGGAAAGACUUGAAAUCAGCAGAGAUGAUUCGAAAAGUAUGAUGUAUCUGAAACUGACCGGACUGACAGAAGAGGACUCAGCUGUGUAUUUCUGUGCAAGAGAAGCACAGUGACACAAACAUGUGAAAAUGAAACACAAAACUGGUUCAGAAAGAUGAUACACUUCACACUUGCAGUUCUCAAUUUUGUCAGUAGGUUGCAGUGAAAUACAAGAAGUCAAGUCGUCCAUUACAUUGAUGUGUAGUGGACACAACACUGUCCACUACAGUGACUCACAGAAUGCUUCUUUUUUAACUUCUAAAAACUUUAUUAGGCACUCUAUCAACAAUCAAGAUACACU